rnacentral:rRNA from 1 species
GAUGAACGCUGGCGGCGUGCCUAAUACAUGCAAGUCGAGCGAAUGGAUUAAGAGCUUGCUCUUAUGAAGUUAGCGGCGGACGGGUGAGUAACACGUGGGUAACCUGCCCAUAAGACUGGGAUAACUCCGGGAAACCGGGGCUAAUACCGGAUAACAUUUUGAACCGCAUGGUUCGAAAUUGAAAGGCGGCUUCGGCUGUCACUUAUGGAUGGACCCGCGACGCAUUAGCUAGUUGGUGAGGUAACGGCUCACCAAGGCAACGAUGCGUAGCCGACCUGGGAGGGGGAUCGGCCACACUGGGACUGAGACACGGCCCGGACUCCUACGGGAGGCAGCAGUAGGGAAUCUUCCGCAAUGGACGAAAGUCUGACGGAGCAACGCCGCGUGAGUGAUGAAGGCUUUCGGGUCGUAAAACUCUGUUGUUAGGGAAGAACAAGUGCUAGUUGAAUAAGCUGGCACCUUGACGGUACCUAACCAGAAAGCCACGGCUAACUACGUGCCAGCAGCCGCGGUAA